rnacentral:rRNA from 1 species
UACGUAGGGGGCUAGCGUUGUCCGGAAUCAUUGGGCGUAAAGAGCGUGUAGGCGGUCCGGUAAGUCCGCUGUGAAAGUCGGGGGGCUCAACCCUCGAAUGCCGGUGGAUACUGUCGGGCUAGAGUGCGGAAGAGGCGAGUGGAAUUCCUGGUGUAGCGGUGAAAUGCGCAGAUAUCAGGAGGAACACCUAUUGCGAAGGCAGCUCGCUGGGGACGUAACUGACGCUGAGACGCGAAAGCGUGGGGAGCAAACAGG